GUGAUUACCUCCUACUGCCACCAUGGCG
rnacentral:piRNA from 1 species